UUGGAUAAAAAUAAAUUUUAAAUUUUAAAUUUUGUAUUUUUUUAUUUUUAUCUUUAAUAUUAAAUUUUAAAUUUAAAACUUUAAAAUUUUAAAUUUAAGAUAAAAUUUAAUAUUUUAAUUUAAAUAUAUAAUUUGAAAUUUAAAAUUUUUAAAUUUUCAUAUCAGAUUUUAAAUUCAAAUAUCAAAUUUUAAUUUUUGUUCAGAUUUUAAAUUCACGAUUUAAAAUUUUAAAAUCAAAUUCAAAUUGGACAGUAGUUAAAUAGGCUGUCAUAUAUGGAGAUAGAAUUAGAAUUAGUAAAAUUUCAAAUUGGUGUCACAAUUGAAAUAGACAAUGAUUAGGAUUGGUUAAACUUUAGUGCGAAGCUCACUAAUCACGCCCCAUUGGAAAGCUUUUGAUUCCGCUUUUACAUGUUAAUUUUACACUCAUCUAAGUAUUUAUUUUUUAUUUUUAAAAAAUAAAAACUUAGAAAUGAAAACUAUUACUUUUUGAUAAAGGCAAAACUAAUACAUGGCAGACUGGCAGUAGAUUGGCUCCUCACAAGGCAUCAUUGGGGAUCUCUUCAUUAGGAUAGGGUGGUCGGGUUUUCAAAAAAGCGUAAAAAUUAUUUUUUAAUGAAAAAAAAUAAAAUAAUAAAAAUACUAAUUUUUUGUAAAAUUUGAAAAAAAAAAAAAAAAAAAAAAAAAAUUUUUUUUUUAAAAAAAAAAAAAAAAAAAAAAAAAAAAAAAACAGUAAGGCCAAAGUGACGAAAAAUACUUUUCCAACCAUACAACUAUAUUCUAGAAUAUUUUACAAAAAAUCAAACAACCCCUAGUGCAAUAAAGAUAAAAUGUAAGUUUUAAUAUUCGAUCAUGAUAAUGAUUCCCUCCUUUUAUCCAUAUUUUUUUAACCUUUUAGAGUAUCUAAAUUUCAAUCUUGUAAAGUCAUAAUGGGAGCGAUUCCUAUAAGGUAGUUACAUAUUGUUUCUAAAACCUUCUCUAAUCCUCCACCUACUUUUGAAUUUUUUGGCUUUUUCUUAUUCGAAAUUCAAAUUUUAAACAAGUACUUCAAGCUUGCCAUCUCAGACUUUACCGAAAAAUUUGCCCUUCACCCCACUUAAUUGAGGCUGAAGAUUUUUUGUUGAAGCAUCAACCAAUACAAUUUUCAAUGCAAUUGUCCACUAUAGAACGAAUCCUAUGCCUAUGUCAAUGCCCUCUUCGGCUGUGUUAGUUAAUUCGCGAAUUAUUCGCGAAUUUUUGAGAAAACGAAUUAAACGGCCGAAUUCGUAUUUUUUAGAAAAAUUCGAAAAAAAAAAUGUGUUUUUUGGGGGAAAAAAUACUUAUUCGCGAAUUAUUCGCGAUUCGCGAAUUAUUCGCCCAAAAAAAGGGCCCGCGCUCGCGCUCGUGCCUGUGCCCAGGCCCGCACCCGCGCUCAGGCCCGCACCCAGCCCGCGCUCGCGCCUGCUCCCUGGCUCGAACCUGCGCCCGGGCCGGCGCCCUGGCCCGCGCUCGUGCUCACGCUCACUUCCGGGCCCUGGCGCGUGCUAGCUUCCACGCUUGCUUCCUCGCUUGCGCUCGCGGCUCGCCCAAAACAGAGAAAGUGAAAAAAAAAAAAAAAAAAAAAAAACCUUUCCAAAAUUUAAACCUUGCACCAAAAAAAUUUAAUCUCUUAUAUAUUAUUUUAAUCUCUUAUUUACUUAAUUUAUUAUUUAUUUUGAGGUAAAAUAUAGUUUGCUAUUUUUUUUACUUAAUUAGCUUAAUUUUGUAAUUCUUUUUUCUUAUAUUCUUAAAAAAUAUGGGUAUUUAUGAUAAUAGCAUAAAUUUUGAGAGAAAAAAAACUUAAUUUAAUAGCCAAAUUUUUUAUCCCGAAUUUUUAAUUGAUGAACGUAUAAUAUCUAUAUAAAUCACGUAUCCGAAUAAUUGGCAAAUCCAUUUUUUAGCUGUAUUUUUCAACGAAUUUAAAAAUGAGAAGACGAAUUUUAUCCGAAUUAUACCCGUACCGAAUUUUUGCCGAAUCCGAAUUAACUAACUAUGCUCUUUGGCACUAUAUAUGUCUCUGGGGUUCAUCCUCAGCUUGGUGUCAAAAUUAGGUGUCGACAAGUACCCCCAACCCCGGCGAGUGCUUGUCUUUCGAUGAGCAUCUUUUGAUUUGAUAUCUAACACCGAGCUUUUGGAGCUUCUUGGAAAUGGUAUUAUCGAAUGGUCUUCGAUGACUUUGAGUGAUGCUAUUUCUUGCUUAUUCGCUUUUUCUAUUCGGGAUCCGUUCGAAAGAAAUAUAGUAUAGAUUAUAUCAUGUUGACCUCCACUGGUAGGAAAGAUCAAAAUUGACUUGUCUUCAACCUAUUCUCCUCAUGUGCUCAUGCCAAAGUCCUUUCCUUAUGCGGAGUCUACAUCUAUUGACACCAUCUUCUCAAUUUCCUAGUUGAGUCCAAGCCUUGAUGGCCCUACUUUAUUGGCUCCAGCUGCUUCAACCCUUCAUUGGACUAUCUACUUUGGGCUACUGACCCUUACUCCUCUUAGCUCCUCUAUAUUUUCUAUCUAGACUCGCCAACUCAUCAACUAGAGCUUCUGUAUUCACUACUUAUAGGCCUUCGUAGAAAAAAGGUGGCAGCCUUCAGAAUCAAGUGGGAACUAGGACCGUAAUAAUCCAUUAGCUCAGUGGAGUGCUCACCAGGGGGCGAAGAAAGUACAUUCAUUAGGGUAGAGGAAAGUAAACAACCAACAAAACAUAAUAAAAGCGAGAAGUAUACAGGUUUUUAUAAAGGCUGUAAAGCUAUGUGUAAAUAGCUUUGCAACCACAAAACAACUGGAGUAAAAGUUAAUAGCUCCGCAACUCGACAUAUUAACCACAUAUCGAAAUUUAUAGCUCCGCAAUUGUAGAACACUGAACUUUGGCAAAUUACGCAGUUCGAGUGUGGGAAUAGUAAUUGGAACUAUUCCACAUCUUUUGAAGGGCUGUCGAGAGGUUUCGGCAAGUUAUCGAAGUGAGCAAGAGGCCAGAAGUGCAAAAGUGCAUUGCAAAAUACAAUUUCUGCACUUUGUACAGGGUACCGGUACCAGCAUGGUCCAGUAUCGGUACCAGCACAGAUAGCUGCGUGGCAGCAAGGUGAUUUUGGUCUUUUCACCUCCAAAACCCAUCCUUAUCUGCCCAUCUUGACUCCAGUAGCUGGUUAGAAGUUGAUGGCUUAGUUAGUUAAUCGCGCGAAUUUUAAAAAAUACGUAUUAAACGGCCCGUUCCGUAUUUUUUUGAAAAGUUCAAAAAAAAAAAACGCGAUUUCUUCCUCAAAAAAACUUGUUCGCGAAUUAUUCGCGAUUCGCGAAUGAUUCGACCCAAAAAAUGGCGCUCGCGGUCGCGGAUUCGCGGCCGAGGCUCACGUCGUCGCCGCGCUCGUGGUCGUCGUCGCGCUCGUGGUCGCGGAUUCGCGGCCAAGGGUCGUGUCGUCGCCGCUCUCGUCCCCGAACUCGUAUGGGUCGUCCUCCUCCUCCUCCUCCGCCGCCCUGGCCUGCACCGGGAGCAAGAGCCGCGGCGGCAGAUGCCCUCUCGCUCGAGGCCGUCCGCAGAAAAGGAGAAGAGGAACAGUAAAAAAAAAACGUGGCUUUUGGAGGCAACUUGUGUGCGUUCAGCGAGGCCACUUUGUGGCCUCGUGACCGCAUGAGAAGAGGCCACGGUGACCUCCCUCUCAUUAAUCAUAUAUAUAUAUAAUAUAUAUAUAUAUAUAUAUAUAUAUAUAUAUAUAUAUAUAUAUAUAUAUAUAUAAUUUUUUAUAAAUAUAUAUAUUUUUAUUUAUUUAUUAUAUAUAAUUUUUAUAUAUAAAAUUAUAAUUAUUUAUUAUAUUUCUAAAUAAUAACUUUUAUAUAUUAUAUAUAAUAUUUAUUAUAAGUCUUGAUAUAUUUAAUUUAUAUAAGUUUCAAUAUUAUUUAUAUAUAAUUAUUAUAUAUUCUCAGUAUAUUAGUUAUUAUAUAUUUAUUAUAUAGCCGAAUUUUUGAUUCCGUAUUUUUAAUUGGUAAAUGUAUAAUAUCCGUAUAAAUUACGUAUCCGAAUAAUUACCAAAUCCGUUUUUUAGCCGUAUUUUUCAACGAAUUUAAAAAUUAAAAGACGAAUUUUAUCCGAAUUAUAUACGUACCGAAUUUUUGCCGAAUCCGAAUUAACUAACUAUGGUUGCUGGAGCUCGGGGGAUGAGGUUUAAGCCAUUCCCUUUCUCUCUGUAGGUUUUCUCUCUCCUUGAAGUGAGAUUUAGUGAUUUGAGCUUAUUUUUCUUCCUCUCUCUUAUGCUUGCUGGUUUGGAAGACUUGGAUUAGCUUUGAGGCAUGGAAAGAGGUGUCUUGAUAGUAUUUCCUCAACCCUAAAAUAGGGAUUUGCUGAGGAGGAUCUGUAAAAAGGUAUACUAUCCAAUCUUUUCAUAGUUUGAAGCUAUAAUAGUGAGGUUGAGCUUGUUUUGAUUUGUUGAUUACCAGCUGGUUUGAGAAGACUAUAGUAGCUGUAGAAUCAAGGUUUUGCUGUGAUUCUUCAACCUUAAUCCAAGGAGAAGCUGGAUUGAAGUUUGGAAGGUGAUUAACUAGCUAUUUUCUCUACUUUGAUGCUGAAAAUAGUAAUGUUAGUGAUAGUUUUGGUGUUGUUUUGGCGAUUGUUCAUAGCAGGAUAUAUGAACCCUGUGGCUGAGCUUUGGGUGAUUCUUGAAGCUAGUUUUGUUGUGGCUCUUCAAUUCGAAACUAGGGGAAAAGCUCAAUUGGAGCUGUGAGAAGGUAUACUAUCUAGUAGUUCCUUAGUUGAAUGAAAUAGUUGUAGUUUAAUGCAAUUUUUAGUGUUUGCAUGCAGCAGGUUCGCAACGGACCAUUCGAUCUUGCUCGGCUGAGUUUUGGAAACUUUCUAAGAUUGGAUUUGGUGUUCCAACCUGAACCGAAGUGGGGAUUCAAGUAUUAGCACUAUACUAGGUAAGAGUUUACCUAGAUAAGAUGAUUAUGUGAGAAUUAUGUGAGUUUUAGUGCUGAGAUACAAGUUCAGCUUUUAGCUGAUUUCGGGUUGAUUGUUAUGGUACUUGGAGGCUGCGAAUUGUCUUCACUCACUUGAUCGACGAGAGUCGUCGACUAUUUGGUGGGUUUGACCUCACCGGAAUAAGUGAAUUCCCUCUAUGUUCUUAGUAAUGCUAUAGAAUUGCUGAUUAUGUGUAAUUGUGACAAUGGAUUACUAUGUGAAGUGUAGUUUGAAGUAGUUAGCAUAUCUACUUCCUAUGGCUAAUGUAGAUCUCUAUAAAGUAGAGAAUUGUAAGCAAACACAUCAUGCAGCAUGCAUAGUUAAUGUUCAGUACAGAUGUAUAAACAUAGAGCUAGAAUUGAUAUUCAUAUGCUAGUGGCAUUGUGAAGGAAUUGUGUGAUGCAUUAGUUGUAAUCCCAUUAUAUGGCAUUAUCAUAUCUCUAUGGAUUAGAGAAUAAAGGCACUAAAUCUAUAGCAUGAUAACUAGUGUGCUUGCGUAGACAAGUUACCAAUGAAAAUAGUAUGCUUAGACUAGCAUCAAUUUCAUGUUGUGGUUAUAAUCUAGUUGAUAUUAGCACUUUAUAUUGUACUUACAUCCCGACCUAUAGGUCGGUAGUAGACAUUCCAUGUUUGAGACAUGAUGACUGAGGACUUUUGACUAUGGAUCAUCCUUGCUUGCCAUUGUGCUAAUUCGCACAUACUUGUGAGGGUCGCUCCCCACAAGCCGGCACACCGGAGCUGGCCUACGCGACAGAUUGCUUGCCCGUGUGGGAUUGGGUGCCGAAGUGGAUUGCCGUGGGGAGUGUACCACAGGGCCAUUAGGCAGCUGGAUUACCGUGUGUAGAUCCUUAUGAAUUGAACAAAAUACUAAAUUGUAUUGCUAAGGGUCAUUACUUGAUAGUGUGCAUAUCAUAAUUGUGAUAUUGGAAACCUAGUAAUUUUAGUAUUCACUAGUUGCUAUUAUCAUCGUAAUUUCUAUCAUGUAGUAGUUGUACCUAUUUUCUUUUAUUCAGCAUGAACCUAGUGGUGUAAUUCGCUGAGGUCGACGGCUUACCCACUGGGGACUAUGUUUAAUAAUUCUCACGCCCUUUUUGUUGUUGUUUUAUUUACAGAGCCAUCCACUGCGGGAGAGGCUAGGGAUCGCUGCAAGGGAGUUGCGUCUAGCUAGGCGUAGCUGAGAGUCCUACUAGGUGAUCACCUCGCUACGUGGUUUGUUGACGAGGGUGAUGUGUACCCAUGUAUAGAGAUACCACUUGUACAUGUAGUUGAUUUUGGUGACUCUGUGAUGUAUAUGUAUGGUUAGAGAGUUGUGUUUACAGUUUAUGCUUCUACUUUCUGUUGAUCUUAGUAGAGUUUGUACUAAUUAUUCUCUAGUUGUUAGUACUUUUAUGUCUUUUCUAUGCUCUGAUACUAUGUUAGACUUUCUGUUGAUUGGUAUAUUUCUAGCAUGGUUUUGGUAGACGCAUUGUAUACUGCAGGUAUAUGGCGGGUCUGUGCAUGUAUCGGGUAUGCUUUCGCUGAUACCCAGGCGUGACAGCAAUAUUAUCUAGAAUUUGGAAAUAGGAAUGAUUAAAAGUUAAGUACAAAAGAAGUAUCCAAUUAACAACACAUAAAUCCGAGCCAAACUUAAUCAAUACAGAAAAAGUGUCAAGAAAACAGAAGUAAAAAGAAAGUAGAGAGAAUACAGAGGGAAAGAAAAUUGAAUUAAAGAAGCGAAAGAAAGUAAAAAAAAGGAAAAAGUAAUUAAAACAAAGACAAUCAAGGACAGACUACAAAAUACAUAGAAAGAAAAGAAGGAAAGUAGGAAAGUUUGUACUAAAAUCAUAUCUAUAAGCUCUUAUUAAUUCUCAUAAUUUUGUCCACGUGACAGGCUUAUCUUAACUAUUGCUGUGGGGUCCAUCUCCUUUAUUACUCAUCUCCUUCUUUUAAACCUACCAUCUUUUAAAGAUCGUGUCGUUUUUCCUUUCGUCUCUUCGGUAGAAGAAAACUUUCAGAAACUUUGUGGUUUCCCAUUUCGUUUGUUUGGUUUUCAUGCUUUUCUUUUAAACUCAUCAAAAUCUAAUUUGAAAUCCCACUUCUCUUUUACCUAAACCCCUUAUAAGUUCUCUCCCCCUUCCCUCACCCCACUUCUUUUGGCAUGGUGGUGGCGCGAUCGAGAUCGAGAUUGGGAACGCGAUAGAGAGCAGGAUCAUUUCCCCUUUUUCAACCUUUUCCCUCAUCAAUCUAUCGUGAGAUCAUGAAGGAAAAAUUAAAAUUUUAUAAAGUUUGGGGGCCAAAAUGAAAUUUUUUUAAAAAGUGGUGUUGCCUUGUGGGCCAAGUCUCCACGCAUGAUGCAUCAUGAUUGACGCCCGCCGCCCACGCUCCUCUCACAAGUCAUAGUGCCACACGCUAAUACACUCACGUAAAUCUCUCUCUCUCUCUCUCUCUCUCUCUCUCUCUCUCUCUCUCUUACAAUCAUUUUCUUUUCUAUCACUCUCUCAAUCUCUCCCCUCCUACCUCCCACCUUUUGGACCGCCGUGCGGCCGCGCCGACUGCUGGUGCUGCUCGCCGCCUCGCCGCUUGGGCUCGGCGCCUCGGCCUACGCCCCUCUGCACUCCGCAGUUAGUUUUUCUUCGUCCGCUCGUGGCACUGUCGCAGGGCCGAGUCGCCUGCUCUUCAACUACAGUGCGGCGGCGCGCUAAAAGCCUAAAAGGCUAAAAUCCUUAGGCCGGUGGCGAUAAUCUCUCUCUCUCUCCCUUUUAGAUUAUUUCAGUUCAAUAAGAGUAUUUAUAUUCUAGCAAUUUAAUUUGCUUUGUAUAAUUAAUAAUUGUGUUUGCCUGUUUGGUAUUGGAUUAUUUAAUAUUUGCUAUUUUGCUUCUUGCCUUCUUGAUUAUUAAUAAUUCGAGUUGUCCAUAAUCUAUUUAUUAUUUGAUCAUGAUCAACAAUUAUGAUAAUAAUGAUAAUUUAUUCAUAUUUAAAUUUUAAUUUUAAAAUUUUUUAAAAAUUUUUAGAACCUUCAAAUGAUAACUUAUUGGAUUUUAAACUUUUAGUAUUUGAGAAUAUGAAGUAAAAUAGUAAAUCCAAAAUUUUAAUUUUUUAUGAAUUCCUUCUUUAUGAAUAAGACUAUAAGAGCUUUUUCUUUUCUAGGCUAACUGUUAGUAAAAUAAUUAUUAUUUAUAAUUUAUUUUUAGAUUUUAUUUUUUAUACAAUUUUAUAUAAUUUGCAAAUUACUUUAUAUUUAUAUAAAUGAAAUCUUAAUACUUGAUUUUUUUUAUAUAAUUUUUGUAGAUCUCUAGAGAAUUAGGCCAUUAUUAUUUUAAUGGGAAAUGCAACUAUACUCGAUUCAUUUUUUAAAAGAAAAAGUAUUAAAAAUUUGGAAGCUAAUGAACAAUAAGCAAUUUAUAGAGAUGAGGCUUCGAGUUCCCAAACUAGUCGUUUGAAAUCUCCAAGAAUAAAAGUUAAGGAGGCUAAUAACAUGCUAUUUGAGCAUGAUCCUACAUUACGACCUCAAAUAUGGGAUUAUCCUGUUGAACAACAUGAUGAAGUUCGACGGGUAUAUAUAAUUAGUGGUCUAUAUCAACCGAGACUUUUGGAAUAUCCAAAAAGUGGGCCUCUUUCUCAUUAGCGUCGUUUCCAACCUUCAUGGUUUGAAUCAUUCAAAUCAUGGUUAGAAUAUUCUCCAACUAAAGAUGCUGCAUUUUGUCUACCGUACUUUCUUUUUAACCUUCACUGUUGAUGGUUUUCACAAUUAGAAGAAAGUCAAAAAAUGGAAAAAGAUGUAUUUUUCUAAAUCAUAUAGGUAAAAAACCAAACUCGCCUGAUAACGUUGCCGAAAAAGCUUGCGAAGAAUUGAUGAAACAAUCUCAACAUAUUCAGAAUGCGCUUUAUAGAUGUGAGACCCCAGAUAGUCCUAUAUAUGAGAUAUAAUAUGGCUAAACUCUUAACCGGGCUUAAGCAUUUUGGGUGGUGACAAGGCCCAAGAGGUUAAGAGAGUUAAGCGUGCUAGGACGGGAGUAGUCCUUGGAUGGGUGACCCCCUGGAAAGUUGGGGUGUCACAGUUGGUAUCAGAGCCAAUUACCAACCGGAAGUGUGAGAUGAGUCUCGGCUGAGCCAGGGUCUGGAUGACGGGCUAGCGAGACGAGUCUCACAUCGCCUGGUACUUGUGAGUCUGGGCCUGACGAGGACGUCAGGGCUUAAAGGAGGGGAGAUUAUGAGACCCCAGAUAGUCAUAUAUAUGAGAUAUAAUAUGGCUAAACUCUUAACCCGGCUUAAGNUCGCCUGGUACUUGUGAGUCUGGGCCUGACGAGGACGUCAGGGCUUAAAGGAGGGGAGAUUAUGAGACCCCAGAUAGUCAUAUAUAUGAGAUAUAAUAUGGCUAAACUCUUAACCCGGCUUAAGCAUUUUGGGUGGUGGCAAGGCCCAAGAGGUUAAGAGAGUUAAGCGUGUUAGGACGGGAGUAGUCCUAGGAUGGGUGACCCCCUGGGAAGUUGGGGCGUCACAAUAGACAUACGUCACAACAAAAAGCAAACGACGCCCCAAUAGACAUACGUCACAACAAAAGGCAAACAAUCAUUUACGUCUUAAAGCAUCAAUAAUUGCAGUUAGAUAUUUUACUUUUCAAGGAUGUGCUAUGAGAGGUCAAGAUGAAAGUGAAGAAUCUAUUAAUCGGGUUAAUUUUCUGGAAAUGUUAAAGGUGUUUUAUUUUCUUAAUGAAAAUAUAACAAAAGUUAUUUUAGAAAAUGCUCCACAAAAUGCUUCUUAUAAUUCACCGGAUACGCAAAAAGAAAUUUUGCAAGUUCUAGUAGAGAAAGUAAGAAGAAAAAUUCGAGAUAAAAUUGGUGACUCAAAAUUUUCUAUAAUGGUUGAUGAAGCACGCGAUGAGUCAAAAAAAGAGCAAUUAGCUAUCGUUUGAGAUUUGUUGACGUACAAGAUUUUAUUCAUGAAAGAUUUUUUAGUCUUGUUCACAUCUCGGAUACUAAAGCAUUAACUGUGAAAAUUGCAAUUUAUUCCGUUUUUUCUCAUUAUAGUCUUGAUGUUUAAAAUAUUCGCGGCCAGGGUUAUGCCGGGAUGAGUAAUAUGAGAGGUAAAUGGAAUGGAUUACAAGCAUUAAUUUCUAAUGAUUGUCCCUAUGCUUACUAUAUUCAUUGUUUAGCCCAUUGUCUCCAAUUGGCUUUGGUUGCGGCAUCUAAAGAUGUUCUUGAGAUUUAUGAAUUUUACUCAAAAUUAAAUACUAUAGUCAACAUUGUUGGAUCUUCUACCAAACGAAAUGAUGAACUAAAGAAGUUUCAUAGUUUUGAGAUAGCCGAACUAAUUGAAAAGAAUGAGUUUGAGACAGGAACCAGACUCAAUUAAGUUGGCAAUUUGCAAAGGACCGGUGAUACUCGUUGGAGUUCACGCUUCAAAUCUAUUACAAGUUUGCUAAGAAUGUUUAAAGCAACAUGUGUAAUUUUAGAGAAUAUUAUUGAUGAAGGAUCCAAUGCUGCUCAACGCGGUGAAGCAUAUUUAACUCAUAAGGCAUGACAUCUUUCGAAUUUGUGUUUAUUUUACAUCUCAUGAAAGAAAUAAUUGAGGUGAGCUGCAUUCUUUGUCAACAUUUGCAAUGUAAAUCUCAAGAUAUUCAUAAUGCUAUGCAUCUUGUGGCAUCAACAAAAUAACUUAUUCAAAAGUUUAGAGAUGAAAGAUAGGAUUCUUUUUUUGACAAAGUAAAGUUAUUUUGUGUAAAGCAUGACAUAGAAGUUUUUAUGUUAGCUCCUUAUGUGGGAAGAGGAAGUCGUGCUCGCCUUCAACGAGAUCACAUUACACUUGAGCAUCACUAUUGAGUUGAUAUUUUUAAUGGUGCAAUAGAUUAUCAAUUGCAAGAAUUGAAUACAAAAUUUAGUGAUAAUAUAAUAGAGUUACUUACUCUAAGUUGUGCUUUGGAUCCUAAAGAUGGUUGCAAAUCUUUUAAUAUUGAUGAUAUUUGUAAUCUUGCAAAAAGGUAUUAUCCUCAAGAUUUUACCGAGUUUGAAAGAGAAGGGUUAAAUAUAGAGCUUCGUCAUUAUGAAUUUUAAAUUUCGCGACAUUCCGACUUGCAAAAAUUGGCAACUAUUUUUGAGUUAUGUCAAUGGUUAGUAAUAACAAGAAAGUCAGAAAUAUAUCCACUUCUCUACCGAUUAGUUAACUUUGUACUGAUUCUUCCAGUUUCAAGUGCAACUAUUGAACGGGCAUUUUCUGCUUUGAACAUUAUCAAAACCGAUCUCCGGAAUAAGAUGGAUGAUAACUUUCUUACUAAUUCUUUGAUCGUGUAUAUUGAAAGAGAAAUUGCCGAGAAGUUCACUGUUGAUUCAAUUAUUGAUGGAUUUCGUGACUUGAAGGAGCACGGAGCAGUAUUCUAACUUUUGCAUGGUAAACAAAAUUUUUAAACUUUUCUUUUAACCUAAUUGUUUUUCGAUUCGAUUCACAUCUUCGAUCUUGACCAUGAUCUCGAUCUCGAUUGUUGUAGGUUUUUUUUUUUGGAUUGCUCUUUUGGGAGCUUGGAAUCAUAUUGGAUGAGGAGCACCACUUCAAGUCGGAGGCCUACGCGGGAGCGUCGAAGUCGUACUGUAACGACCCAGCCCACUAGCAAUAAUAACUCGUUGGGCCAAACAACCGGCCCAAAAUGCUUAACCCAGUUAUUAUUACUAGUGUCUAAGUCUCUUAUAAACCCAAUGACAACCCCAUUCCUAUCCGAUGUGGGACUAUUGGGGUGUCACACGUACUCACAACAAGCGGGGACGAUCUGCAAGAAUGGGUACAUCGUGAUCAAGGGAAGGCCGUGCAAGGUUUGGCUCAUCAUAAUCUCGAUCCGUUCUUUAUGUUCUCUGUGUUAAAUUCAGAUCUCUGUGUUUGCGAUAUGGUUUUUGCUAAAGUUUCUUCUCGGUUACGUGUUUGCUCGAUGAGCAAUUCGUCUUUUAUAUGGUAAAUAUGUACUCAGAUCCCGUCAGCUACAUGUCAUUUUUAUUUAGACAACUCCUUUACCUUAUCUUGAUUGAGAUACGCCCCUUAACUUUUGAUUCCUUGAAUCGUAUUAUUUACUUAGGUUGAAAUUUUUGCAUAAUGUGUCUCCCCCCCCCCCGAACUAAAAUUCUGACUUUGUCCGUAAUUCGAGGUAUGCUACUCUACAAAAAUUUAUCCGCUGCAUCGCGCGGAUCCCUACACUAAUAUAUAAUAAUAAUCUAUACCUAUACAUUAUUUCUCAUAAACUUUGUCAUGUGGCAAUAUCUCAUUUAGCCUUGCCUUCUCCUCCUUCAUAAAAAUCGAAUUUAUUAUCUCUCAUUUUCGCGCGAUGUUUUGUCUUCUCACCUGCCUACUUUUUGAUUAAUAUGUUCACAUAGUUCAUUGCCAUCUAAACAAAUCAAUUUUAUGAAAGAAACAAAUAAAAUAAGAUAUUUUCAUACUCUUUUUUUUUCACUUUUUUUGGCGCAUAAGAAAGAUUCAUAUUUUAUAAUAUUUUUUAAUUUUUUCUCAUUUUUCUUAAAGUUAUGUAGGAAUUGGAAUUAGGGUUUUGGAAAUUACGGUGUGGCACGGCCGAGGGAAGCAACGAUGGAUUCGGAGUUAGUGAGAGGGAAGAAGUAGUGGGUGUGGGGGAUCCGUCGGGAUCAACGUGGCUGUGACCAAGAAGGAACUCGACACCGCCAAUGGCGGUGGAGGCGACAUGGAGAUUGGGAUUCCCUUUCACAAAAAAAAGGAGUAAAUUAAGAUAUCUUUAUACUAUUUUUUCUCAAUUUUUUUUUUCUUUUUUUAGAGGGGGACACAAAAAAGAUUCAUAUUUUAUAAUUUUCUUAAUUUUUCUCUUUCUUAAAAAAUUGGUUGGGGACGAAAUUAGGGUAAUGAGUGGUGCGACAUAGUAGGACUAGUAGCAAUAAAUUUGGAGUUGGUGAGGGAAAAGAAGUGGUGGGUUUGGGGAGAUCUGUACGGGAUCGACGUGGUCGUGACUAAAGAGAAGCUCGACGCUGAUAAUGGCGGCAAAUGUGACGUGGAGAUCAGGAUUCGCCUCCCCGAUAUCUGCAAUGCAAUUAAGGUGCAUAUGGAGUAGUGUUCUAUUGUUGUUUCUUUUAUUAUUGUUAUGUGUAAUUUAUUUGCUAAAAUUAUAAAUUUUGCUAUAUCUGUUUCAUAUUUUCUAUUUGUAUUUAUUGAUUUCUCAUAACAAGUCAAAAAGUUUUAAAAUUUACUUUGUUAAUUUUCUGUCUUUUAUGGCAUUAGCCCACUGCAAUGUGUGGAUAACUAUAUAUAAACCCUGCAAAUAUAAAGGAUUUUUCAAAUACCCUGCAAAUGACUUUGUUUGUACAGUUGAACAUGCAAAAAUUCAAAGAAAAAAGAAGUGGGGGACAAUGAUAAGAAGAAGCAGCUAUUAUACCGUUCAAGCGUGACUAUACAUUGAGAAGCAGCCUACCGUGCUCGCCCAUGAGACUGAAUGAGGACGCCAUUGAUAAUCGAGAGGGCUUUGGAGGAGGACGGAGCGGGGGUUUUGGGGGAGGGGGGAGGGGAGGGCGAGCAGAGAGCAGGGUUUUGGAGGGGAGAGGGAGUUUUGGAGGGCUAAGGGAACACGAAUAGCUCUGGUGAACAGUGGGUUUUGGAGGGCUGAGGGAACAAGAAUAGCUCUAUUGAGUAGUGGGAGGGCUACAAGCUUACAGGGAGAGUUUUUUUUGUCGUUUUUAUGGUUUUGUUGGAAAUCAGUCAACGAAUGAAAAUUUUCUAUUGCGGGAAAAUUUUCAACGUGACCAACCAGCGCUCGGGAGGAGGAGGAAAAAAAUGUAAUAGAAAAGAUUUACUUAUAGUCAUAGCAAAGCAAUAGGUAAUUACAAAAUAAGGAUGCUCAAACAAAAUUUAAAAUACAAAAGAAAAAAUAAAAUAGCUAAUUUAUAUCUAAAAAAUAAGUAUAAAAAAGCAGCAAUACGUAGAAAAUAAGCAUCGAUAUAUUAACCACAUAUCGAUAUCAAUAGCUCCUCAAAAAUAUUUAGAAGUUGUAAAUAUGAAUGAAAAGUGAAAAAGAUGUAUAUAAUAAAGCUCAACAAGGAGGAAAAAAAAAUAUAUAUUCAAAAGCAAUAUAUAAAAAACCUAGAUGAAAAGCUAAGUAAGAAAAUAGUGUAUGAUUAAGAAAAGUUUAGUUAGAAGCCAAAACAAAAUUUUAAAUCAAUAGCUGUACAAAAAUAUUUUGAAGUUGGAAAUAUAAAUGAAAACUAGAAAUAUCUAAUUUUUUUUCACCUAAAAUCUAAAUUUUCAAAAAUCGUGCAAAUUCACGAAAAUACCGAAAAUUUCAUGAAAAAAAAAUCUAAAUCGAUGUUGAAAAAUUGCAAAAAAAGGUUCACGAAAAAAAAUCAGAAACCUCAACACACCUGCUUCCUCAGCCAUCUUAAAGGCAAAAUUGACGUUGCUAAGCCGUGCCUUGCAUCAUCCAAGCCGUCGCCGCCGCCAGCACCACUGUAACAUACCAGAUUUUGGUAUAAAAAUAAAAAUAAAUAAAAAUAGUGUGAGAAACCAUUUUUAUUGAAUUUGUAGGAGUAAAACAUAAGUCAAAAAUGACUUGUGCUGAAAUCGGAUUGAAAACAGAAGAUCUAGAAUUUUCUGUUGAAAACGGGACAGAUAAAUUAGAAGAAAAUGCACAGUCUCAGAAAAUUAUGAAAAUUGAAGAAUAAGUCAGAAAUAUUUUUAUGAGGCUAGAUUUAAAGUUUCAUAUUUUUCUGACACCCGUAGAGUGAGAAAUAAAAUCCGACAGCUAUCUGAUAAAGAUUACAGUUCGGUACAGUUUUCGGUGACCAAAUGGGGUCGAAACUGAAAACUUAAAAUAUAUUCUUACUCAGUACGUAAAACCGAACAUGACUGUCAAGUUUGAGUUCAAACGGAUAUUCGGGGAGCUCCGGCGAAAGUUAUCAGAUUUCAAGCUGCCCUGAAUGAAUAGUGUUUUGAGGGACUUAAUCCCUCUCCUCCCCCAACCGUGCGCCACCCACACCGCAGCCACCACACGCACACACGCAUUGAGAGAGGGAGUAAGAGAGCCCUCCCUUUCCCUCUCUAAAUCUCUCCCAAAAGAGUGGGUUUUGGUGGAGAUUGAAGCUCAAGGAUGGAUUUUCAUCUUCUCCAUCUUCUUCCUUGCAUGAGAAGCAAGCUUUGAAGGUAAGCUUCAAAACCCUUUAAUGGUAUCUUCUUGUAGUUUGGGUUUUAAGCUUCAAGAAUAGAUUUAGAGCUAUUCUAGCAUGCUAGAGAAAUGAUUGUUGCUUAAAUCAUGGAUCAAUUUAAUGAUUUCUUGCCUAGUUGUAAACCUAGGGCUUUAAAUGAGCUUUUUGAACCCUCUCAUGAUAGAUCUUUAAAGCUUCAUUUAUAAUCCAUAGAAAUAGUUUAUUUGGGAUCCUAGCAUGCUAAAUAAAGGAUAAAUGCUAGAAUCUAGGAUCAAUUUAGUUAAUUCUUGCAUAGUUGCAACCUAGGGCUCCAAAAUGUAAUUUUUGCUAAUAGAUGGGUUUGAUCUAUUUUGACCCUAUGUAAACCUAAUUGCUAGGUAACGAAACGCGUUGGCGAAGACAGUUCGGCAAUCCGACGAGCCGUUACAAAGUUAUUAAAGAAAUGGACGUUUAGGCUUCGUUUUCGCCGGGAGGGCCGAGGCGAUGUCAUAAAAUCGUGGAGAUAGAUUUGCACCGUGGCACAUAAUCGAGGACCUAUAAUUUUCGGGGCUGCGAAGCGGAGCACGGUUGAGGCACAGUUGCGAUAUCGGGCCGUGCCGGAUACGGGUGCCGCAGGAGGCCGAUUACAAGUGUCGACAAGCAAUCGGAACGCGAGUUAAGGUGGGUUGUGCUUACCGAAGCGACUAGGUCGCCUUUAUGUCUAAGCAAAUUAAGAAUCCAUGUUGAUGCAUAUAGAUGUAAAUGAAGUAUGAAAAUGAUGCAUGUUAAUGUAAAUGCCAAGUAGAAAUGCGUAAUGAUAAGAUGCAAGUUAAAUAAUGCUAGAUGAAUGCAUGAGUUAAUUGUUACAUGAAUGCAUGAAAAUAAUGUCAUAGUAAUAUGUUAGAGGUAAUAUGCAUGUUGAUAAAUUAUGGAACAUGUUGGAUGGCAUAUGAAUGGUUGGCAUAUAUAUGUAGACAUAUUGUGGAAUAUGAUGAAUGAGUGCAUGUUGAUUUAUUGUAGAAUAUACUAGAUGGAUGUAUAUUGACAUAUUGUGGAUUAUGUUAAAUGACACAUGCAUGUUGAACUUGGAUCGAUAAACUCUAGGUGAAUUAGAGAACUCGACAUUGAAAAACAAUGACAUAUGAACUAUGACAUGUGACGUGGACAAUCUAUAUAUAUUAGAUCGAGUGGCAUACGAUUAGUAUAGUGGAAACACUUAUGUUAUGUUGAACACUUAGAAAACAAAUGUGGCAUGAGUCCAAGAAUAUAGCAGUGUAUAUGACACAAGUGAUAGUAAAGAAUGCAAAGAAAGGAAUGAUGGAAAUAUUAUGACAUUUCAACCCUAGAGUUAGGGUCAUUUGAGCAUAGUCUUCCUAAAGUUAAGGAAUGGAUUGAACUUGACAUCCUCAAGAUUUUGGAUUUGAUCAUUGAUCAUACUCACCUUUAGUCCUUGCUCGAGGUUGUGGUAGCUCCCCCUGGGGCGAUGUGCUCCGGAGUCGAUAUCACUGGGUUGUAGCGAGUAUCUCCCCAGAGGACGGUCCCAUCGGGUGUAGCGAGCAUCUCCCCGAUUAUUGGGAUUUUGAGUUGGUGAGUUUGUUGAGGGCGAAACCUUUGGGUUAGCCAAGUGAUUGGGUAAUAAACUUAUGACCUAUAAUAAUAUCCUAGUUGAGUGGACUUAAGGCUGAGGUGCAAGUGAGACGUCCUUCGCCUCGAGCCUGCCUUUGCGCGGUACUGCGCGAAUGAUUGACUCAAGACCGAGUCGGGUGGAUAGUUGAUAAAGGUAAAUGAGACCUUAUGAUUAAAAUGGUAAAUGACAGAAAACCUUAAAUGUCAAUUGGAUGAAAGUAGUAAUCGAUUAAAUUACUAGUUGAUUGUGUAGUCGCAUCAUUGCAUGAUCUUCAUAUUGCAGUCGUGAGGCAAUGCAUGGUUUCAUUUGUUGCAUAAUCAAGGUAUAUAUCUAUCUGUUUAUUGAACUAACUUGUAGUUGCCUCUCUUGGACCUAUUGGUCGAGUUUUUCCCUUGGGUGGCCGUACCCACUGGGAACCAUGGAGUUGGUUCUCACCCCACGUGGUUUUGGGGUGUUACAGGUUCACACGUGAGCGGCGCGGCGGCGCGAGGCGAGGGCGUAGCAUCAUAGUUAGCGCCCUACCACCGAGACCAAAGAUAGCGGUACCCUGAGUCGGCUUGCUUAGGAUUGUAGAAAAUAAAAAAAAAUCAAGUUGUAAUAAUCAUGUUAAAUCGGAUUGUAUUUGGAAGUUGAAUGUAAUAAGUAUUUGGGAUGUAAAAUGUAUGAAUGUGAAUGCUUGUAAUAACAAGUAGAUUAUGUUUUCCUUAUGCAAUCUUUGAUUGAAAUGUGUUCCUGGUUGGAACUUUGUACAUUGUAUUGAUUGCGACGCCUUGAAUGUACAGGGGAGACUCUGUCCGCGGUACAGGAAAAACCCUGUCCGUUCGGCGGUCUGUUGCGGUGCCGCGACCCGGCCAAAUAGGCGGGCGGUCGCGGGGCGUGACAACCACCAUCAGGUAAGAAGUAAAAAGAAAGAAAAAAGAAAAUAUUUUUUAGAAAAGUGAAAAAUACGGAGAAGAAGAAAAAGAGAAAAAGGAUAAGAGACUUAAAAGUUUAAAAAGAAAAAAAAAAAAGAAAAGAACAUAGAGCUGUGAUUUUUUUUUUGUCCGACAUUGCCACCAUUAACGCCGCCCAAGCCGUCGUCACCGCUGUGACUGACGCCCAUCGCUGUCAUGACUAUCACUAGCACUGCCUAAACUAUCGCUACCGCCGCGUUUGCCAUCAUUGCUGCACAAGCCGCUGAAGCCCACUUUGAAUUCCCUCACAUAAGAGGGAAAGAGUGUGUGAGUACUACGAAAAAGAGAUGGGGAGAGAGAGGAGGAACUAGCUUAUGGAGCGAAGAGAGAGAAGAGGGAUGAAAAUGAGAGAAGAGGAAGAAGAGAGUAGGGAAGAGAAAGAGAGGGAGAGGGAGAAUAAGGGCCAACUAUAGAAGGGAAGAGAGAGAGGGGGAGAGAAAGAGAACAUGAGGCCACUUAGAGGAGAAGAAAAAGAGGAGGAGAGAAGGGAAGAGAAAAGUGGGGCCACAUGUAAAAGGGAAGAGAAAGAGAGAGAGGAGAAAAGGGAAGAGAGAGAGGUAGGGGUAUAAUAUGGACUGUGUCGAGCCUGCACGUCCCACAUUAAGUUGGGUCGAAACGGGCCGAAGUCCAGCCCGGCACAGCUCGACCCUAAAGUCGGGCCGUGCCGUGCCGGGCCGUAGCUCUUGGACCCCCGGCCCAACACGUUCCCCCGGCCCGGAGGUCGCGGUCGUGCCGGACUUCAGGCCAGCCCUUAUUUAUUUAUUUAAUUUUAUUUAAAAAUAUAUAAAUUUUUGUAAAAAAUAAAAAAGUUAAUAUACUAUUAUUUAAAAAAUAUAUGAUUAAAAAGUUUCAAAAUUUAAAACAUAUUUAUAAAAAAUAAUAAAAUUUUAAAAUUAUUUAAAAAUAUAAAUAUUUUUUGGACCAAACUACCCUUCCUAACAAUCAAAUUUUUGACUGUUGGGAGGGUAUUUUGGUCCAAAGAGAACCAAAAGCUAACUCCCAAGGGUUUGCCAUAGCGGAUCCUCGGGAGAGCACAAGGCACACAGGCCCGGCUACCAACUCCCAAAGCAUUGGGAGUUGGGAGACCUCAAGAGCCGGGCCGACACGGCCUAUACAGACCGUGCUGUACCGGCCUAGGGCUCCUUUUAGGUCCAGCACACAGGCUGGUGUCGUGCAAGACUAUGCCGGGCCAAUGGGCCAUAGGGAAGCUGCCCAGCACGAUCUGGUUCAUCCAGCCUAGUCGGUUGAGCAUGAGUGCUACAGUACUCGUGCCGUGCCUCAGCUCGGCCUAAUAUCAUGUAGUGUCGGGUAGCCCGCAGGCGGUCCGAUCGUUUUACACCCUCGGAAAGAGGUGGGGCCACCUGUGGAAGGGAAGAGAGAGAGAGUAGUAAAAAAAAGUAUUGAGAAUCCGUCACAUGAAAUGAGCAAAUACAUGCAUGCUACGUGUACAUUUUGAAGGUAUUGUCAAAUUAUAUAGUGUAAGAUAUAGUGCAAUAUAUAUAUACGGCUCGGUUUACUAUCGAUUUGUUUUCGAUGAUAGAGCUUCCAAAUUGAUGAUCGGCACCGUUAAACAUGAUCUAAACUAUUUAAACUAUCUGGAAAUCAAAUUUCACAUAUUUUCGAUAUUGUUCUCUUGUCCAUAAAGUGAACAAAAGAAUGAAUGGCUGGAAAUGAAUAUCCUUAAAAAACUGAUGAUACAAUUUUUAUAUUUGAGAUUUAGAGUCUAGAUCUUAUUUUAAAUAGUUUAAAGAAUUUUUUAACAAAAAUUUAGUUGAUUUGAACUCUUCUAUACCGUUAAACGAGCAAACACACCAUAUCGGCCAUUAAAAUUAUAGAUUUUGUGACCCUUUGAUCGUUUAGAUAGUGAUGCCAAAAAAUCAUGAAAUUUGAUUUCUAGAUAAUUUAAAUGGUCUAGAUCAUGUUCAAUGGUACCGAUCGUCGAUUUGGAAGCUCUAUCAUCAAAAAUAAAUCGGUAGUAAACCGAGCAGUAUACUACCGACAGUAGCCCAGGCAAACUAUAUAUAUAUAUAUAGAACUAGGCUAAUAUACUAUUAAUAGCACCAAGUCAUUGGUGUUACCAAGUUUUUGGCCAUUGGAUUAAAAGAUGUGCGGUUAGGAUGAUGUGGGCCUCCUAGGGUUGAGUGGGUGGUUGGUUGAAUUGUGUGAUCUAACGGGUGAAAAUGAUCAAAAGGGUAGAUCUAACGGCGGAAAAUUUGGUAACAACACCAAGUGCUUCGUGCUAUUAAUAGCAUAGCAGCCGAAUUAUAUAUAUAUAUAUAUAUAAUUUAUCAUUAAUAAUUAUUUUGAAAAAAUAAUUUUUGACAAUAACAUAACUGUCCAAAAGUUAACAACUUAGAAACUUCAAUAGGAUAAAUCUGUAAUUUUAAAAUUGUGUAAGCGUACAUAUAAAAUUAUCUCUUUAUUUUUCGGAAGAAGCUACUUGUACACCGAAAAAAGGUUCUAAGAUUUAAAAAUCCUUUAAAUUUUAGGUAAAACUAUAUAAAACUUAUUCAAAAUAUGGACCAUUUUGAUUUGACUAUCCGAUCUUUUAAAAUUUUGAUUUUUGUAUAUAAUCUUUCAAUUUGCCUUAUUUGAAUCGGCAAUUUGACUUCAAAAUUUAAGCUAAUUAUUUAUUUUAAUAAAUUUAUUGUUUCAAAAAAUGUAUCAAAUAUAUUAACUAAGUUUACAAAAAUAAAAGAAAUAUUUAAAUUUUUAAGUCAAAGUGCCGCUAACUGACUCAACAAAUAAAUUGAAAGAUUAAAUAGUAAAUCAAAAAUUUGAAAGAUCGAAUAUAUAAAUCAAAAUAAUUUAUAAUUUAGAUAAAUUUUACACGUUUUAUUUUAAAUUUAAAUAUAUCUUUUUAAAAAAGUGAUUACAUAUUGACUUUUAUUACGAGAACUAAGAUAAAAAGGGAAAAAUAUUUAAGCACCUAGAGGUAUACAACUUGCAUUGCUCUUACUUUUUCAUCUGCCAUUUUAGUAUAACGCUUGCGGGGACCCCACAGCGAGCCGUCACAAUUUCGAAAACACUACGUGCACCGCGUUCAAUGUCGCACCUCAAUGGACGGUCAAAAUGACUAAUUCGUUUUGAUGAACGGGUCGUAUAUGCGAAGUUGAAGAUAAAGCUAUGCACCGGGUGCACGAAAUAACUAGUCACUAAGAUAUUAUUAUCGCAAAAAAGUAGCAGCCACACCACCGCAACCCAGCAAAUCCACCGCCUCGAUCGUCUCCUCCUUUUUCUCCUCCUCCUCCUCCUCUUUCGUUCUCGAUCUAAAUUCCCCGAAUCCUCCGAUCUCGGAUCCGAUUCCUCACACCUUCGAGUCCUAGAUCCCCUCCCCCGAUCUCCUCGCUGCGAUCGCCGCUUCCGAAAUGGUAUUUGUCCCCUUUCUUUUCCGAUGCGUCAGUUUGGGUUUGAGAUUAUGAUGAAUUUCGCUUGUAUCGUCGAUCGAUCUGGUGUGUGCUGCGCGAUUUACACGUAUUUGUUUGUUCAGAUCCAUGUGAUUCCGAUCGGAUUAUGUUUUUUUUUAUUGUGGUUCUCUUAGGGUUUGUUGGGGAUUAGAUCCCUCAGUGUUUUAUCCCAAGUUUUAUCUCGUGAUCUCAACUUUUACAUCCUUUUUCGUGAGGUUUGUAGCGGUUUCUGUAAAGGAGUGGCGAUUUUUCUCAAUUUCCCUUUUUUUUGNGGAGGGGGGGUGUGUGGUUUAAACGUUCUUUGGGUAUUACUUCAAAUAAACUGGCGAUCUUUAUCAUGUAGUCUAGUAGAUGAUAUUGGUUUACUGUUUUUUGCGAUUCUUUUAUAUGCUUUAUUUAUCUUUCGGUGUCAUCUUUGCUGUUUCUAUUCCGCUCCCCCUCCCUAUUUUUGGUAUAUUUAUUUUUCAGUUAAAUGUAGUGUAUAAAUUAGCUGGAAUCUGAUUUAUCUUUUAUGUCUCAUACUUCACAGUUCACAUUUCUUUUCCAACAAGUGUUUUACUGUUGAUUAUAAAUAUAGUCUUGUUAUUUUGGAUGUUCAGAUUUGUCAUGCACUCGUUCUAUUAGAUUGUUGUACCACCAAUUCAGCUUAUCGUUGUUCCCCUUUCUCAAUGCUUUCGUGUUGAUGUGCACUAUUUUAGUUGGAUUAUGAUAGAUAUCAGUAAAUCCGUUGAUUUGAGGUUGGAUUUACUGGAUUUUGGUUACUAAAGUAAGAAAAUUUGUCUGUCUAAAUAUGCCGUCUCUGCUUAUUGUGGAAUCUAAACAUGGCGAAGGUAAAUAGGAUGAUAAACGAUUGAAUCCAAGUCAACUGCACUUCAUUCCGAACAACAUAUUUCAACCUCAAAUCCAGUUAACCUGAGUUCAUUGAAUCACAAAAUCAAUCCAAUUAUAUAUUGAUUUGGUAUCAAUUAAUGUUUAAAAAUGUUUACAGGCCAACGCAGCGUCAGGAAUGGCUGUUGAUGAUGAUUGCAAGCUGAAAUUCCUCGAAUUGAAGGCGAAGAGGACUCACCGCUUCAUAAUUUUCAAGAUUGAUGAGAAGCUGAAGCAGGUUGUAGUGGAAAAGCUUGGCGAGCCAUCUUCAAGCUAUGAGGAUUUCACUGCUAACCUCCCUGCCAACGAAUGCAGAUAUGCAAUUUAUGACUUUGAUUUUGUCACUGAAGAGAAUGUCCAGAAAAGCAGGAUCUUCUUCAUUGCAUGGUAACUUUUUGUUUGUUGCUUGCUUUCUUUCUUUCUUUCUUUUUUCUUUUUUCCUCCUCCUUGUUCUUCCUAGUUUUCCUUCUGUCGAGAAACACUUGAUGGUGAGGCUGGCAAACCCUACCUGUACGGUGAAUUGCAAUAUCAAAGCAUACAACAUUGAAGUUGACCAAGCAAAAAAAUUCUAUAUAUCUACUAUCUAUUGCAUAACAUUAUUUUCCAGGUCCAGUACACUCUGAGACAUGCCCCUUCUACAGACUUUAAAAGGCCAACUAAAAAAAAUAAAAAUAAAACAUCUAUAUGAGAAAAUGUAUAUUUUGGAGCUCUGCACAAACAUGGUGGAAGUUUUGUGUUUAUUCAACCAAAAAUAAAAUAGAGAUUCAUCACCAAGUCUUCUGAGUGCUACAGAUCCACCAGGAGGAGGCAUGAAUCUUGUUUAUCUUAGUAUGUGGAUAGGUUGAAGCUACUUCACAUCUGAAGUGUCAGCUUUCUUUCUUUUUCUCACCAGCCAAAGCUUUUUUCUUCUUUAAAGUAGACUUCAAAUCUAGCAGGUGCAGUGUAUAAUAUUAUAUUCCCCCUCAUAUUUGUUGGCAACUAGGCUAUCAAGGUGGCUAGGAGCUUCACAGGCAGAGAGACCCACCAGCUGCCUAGGCACAUCCUAGGCAUUUUAGUGGACCAGCUAAUGAUUCAUGCAGUCAUCUAAAUAAUAUCGUGGAAAGUUCAAGGGAGGGAGGGGGAAUUAUGUUUCAUUUCUAGUUCAUAAGUUCUCAUACAAUUGAAUCCAUCAAUGAUAUGUUAUAACAACUACACUCUGUACUACGUAGUACUUCAUUAACUAAUUAUCCAAGAGUCAUCACUCAAAGGAAGAAAUUUGAGAAAACAAAGGCAAGGUGUGAAUUUUAUGCCCACAAUAAUUAUUUGUUCAAUCUCCUUGUUUUACACUUAUUAUCUUCAUUACCUAACCUUCUUUCUCAAAAUACAACUAAUAUAGUUAGUGUAAAUAUAUAAUAUUCAGAUUUCAUAUGAAAAUUUUAACUGUCUAAGCAAUGACUAGUAGAUUAGAUGCUGCUUAGGUGGCUGCCUUACUAUGUUGCACAGACACAGAUAAGGGCUACCGAUAUGGCGAUAUGACAACUUUCGAAAAUCUUAUAUACGAUAUCAUCGAUAUGUUGGGGAUACAAUUAUAGAAAAUUAUUCUUAAUAUAUAUUAUAAUUAUUUUAUGUGUAAUACACGUUAAAAAUACUUUGGAAUCUUUGGAUAAUUAGUUCAUGUAUCACAAUAAUUGAUUAACUUGUGUAGAGAUAUGGACAUAGUAGACUUUUGUUCAUUAAGAAACAAAGCUAAUCAGGUCAUCGGUAAUCUUGAGGUUUUGUUGGUAUGAAUUCAUGUGCAAGUGUCAUCUCAAUUCGGAAGAGAGAUAACUUGUGUAACAAUUCUUUGAUCUAGCAACUUGAGAAUGAUUUCAUCCGCAAUUAGACCCUAUAUCUUGCAAGACUCCAUCAUGUAUCUGCCAAGUAUCCAACAAGUAUCUGGUAUUUUUUUUGAAUAUUUUUUUAAAAUUGGAUAUUCUUAUCAAGUAUCUUACGCGUAUCGGGUGUGUAUUGUGUGAGUAUCGAUAUCCGAAACGUAUCUGAUAUGGAUAUGAUAGCUAAAAUGUAGUAUCUGUGUACCAUAGUUGCUUUAUGAUCUAGGUUUCCAAUUUAUUUAGAAGGGCUUAAUCAACAACUAUUUGGCUAUUGCAAGGAUUUAAGUGCCCAACCCACUGUGCUAGACCGUGCCAGCAAGAUAUCGGCAAAAUACAGCCCCCCUGUCAGUGGCACAACUCAAAGCCUCUUUUCCUCAAAAUUAGCAAGUAGUUCAAUAAAGUGCAAAAGAUUUGAUAAAGAUAUAUCAUAAGCAAUUAGAAUAUAUUGGUGUCAUAGAAAAUAAUUAUUUAUGCCAUAGUGUGUUGGCACAUAGGUAUUUUCGUGAUUAGCAGACAUUGGUACUGCAUGGCAUUCAACGUGCCUUACGGUGUCAACAGUUCUCGACAUGACCUUAUACUGCAACACUUAAAUUCUUGAGUUUUUUGUUGCUUGGGUGUUUUGGGCAUAUAAAGCACCUAGGAGGUACUUUUGACGGCCAUUUACUGUGGUGAGACCGUUGUUUUAAUUGCUUUCUGUUUUAGUUGCUUGUUAGGACUCAUUGUUGGCUUGCCUCCAAAUUGAGCAUACGACAAUCAUGCGGCUUGUCACAAAUGAAGCAAGCAAGGAUUUACUUGCUCAACCUGAAAUCUCUAAUUACGGUGGUUGGUAAGACCUAAGAUUUAAUGUGUGACUGUGUUCAAUUUAAGAGCAGUCUUAACUGGUAAUUACAACAACAAUUAAUGGGAUUGAAGUUUUACUGUCUAAUUUAAAUCACAUGUAUGGAAGUAAACUUGCCUAUUUGUGGAAGUUGAAGGUUUCCUGUUUGGCUAGUUUUGGGCUUUUUGCUCAUUAAUUUCAGCUAAUUGCCUUCACCUAAUUUUCCUUCUGUUGGAUAGGUCUCCUGACAUUUCGAGAGUGAGAAGCAAGAUGCUUUAUGCCAGCUCAAAGGACAGGUUCAAGAGAGAGCUAGAUGGUAUCCAGGUGGAGCUGCAAGCUACUGAUCCUUCUGAGAUGGACCUCGAUGUCAUCAGAGGCCGUGCCAAUUGAAUACCAGCAGCGGAGGUAUUCUCCCUGCACUUUGGUUUGGUUUGGUGAAUGUUUAUAGUAUGUGGGAGGGUUGAUUUGGUCGAUAUAAUAUGGCUUGUUGUCUAUGUUAUAAAUACCUUAUUGCUUCUGAUGAAUCUUUAUGCCAUUUGGAGGUCAUGCAAGUUGAGCAUUCGCAGUGGAGAUGUUUUCCCUGUGCUUUGCUAGAUUUGAUUAAUGUUCACACUUCAUGGAAUGAUGGAUUUGGUAGACUAUAUGGCUUGUGUAGGCUAUUAAGUACUUCUUGCCCUAUUGGAAUUGUUUCUCACUUGAGUUACAUGUGUUAUAUGUUAUUUUCUGUUAACUUGUGGCAUGUGUAUAGCUAGGUAAAUUACAUCAAGUAGUCUCAAAUUUCAUUUUGGUCCUUGAACUUUUAUGUUUGACCUUUUGAGUCCUCAAACUUUGAAACUUGUUACAGUUAGUUCCUUAGAGGAAAAGUUGUUUGACCGUGCCAAGGUGUACGUUCCAUGCAUCGGAAAUAAACAUGCCUCCAUCCAUCUCAUACUUUUGAGACAACAGUCCCACGUAAGUUGAGGUAUGAUUUAAUAUGAGAACGGAUCAAGUUUUGAUAGAUGCAUGGUGCACCUCUAGUAGUAUGCAAGGACAAGGAUGAAAAUUAAACAGUUUUGAGAGUUCGGUUGUCAAAUGUUGAAGUUAGAAGUUCAAUGACCAAAGUGAAAUUUCGACCAAAAGUUUGGGGACUAGUGGUGCAAGUUACCCUUUUCUACUUGUAGUUUGACGCCUUCAUGCUGUAUGAUAUCCCAACAAUUUGUGUCUCAAUUCUCUCAGAACAAGAAAACAAAGCAAUUUGUGUCUCUAGCCAAAGUAUGCAACGGUUCCAGUUUGUUUAUGGUGUUGAGACGGAUGCUGGGCUUUGUUAUUUUGUCCCUGUCGUUUUAUGCUUUCACUCAUACCUUGUGUCGUUAUUUUGUGCCUGUCGUUUAAACCUUCUUUUGUUUUACCAAUAUUUCGUUUAAUCGGUAGCUAGAAAUUUGUGUGCCUGAGAUGGCACUGGAGUUUGCUUUUGAAGGUGAAGGAGAUAGAGGGAAGUGGAGUGGGUAGUAGUGGGGUGGGCAUGGUUUGGUUUUGCUGGUUUAGAUUGAAAAUGUCUGAUCUAAAUUUUUCUGACUUGUUUUUGGAACAAAAGAAUCCCUGGGGUGGGUUUGGUUUGGUUUGGUUUGGUUUGGUUUGGUUUGGUGGGUUCAAAUUCAAAUUGAAACUGAUUGACCUAAAUUGGUUUUAACACUGUUAAAGCCAAAAAUCAAGCUAUUUACUUUAAAAUUCAACGAAGUCUAAUAAAAUUUUUUUGGUUUGGCUUCAGUUUAGUUUGUUGAUUUGGACAUAUAAGUUUUAAAGAUGGUGCACGGCAAAACCCAAAUUAAAUUGAACCUAGGUUGUUGGCUCGGUCUGGUUUCUUCAAUAUUUGUGUAUUUUGGGUUCCCUGUUCUGCCUGGGAGGGGGUGCUGUUAAUUGUUCUGCAAAAAAAAAGAUGUUCAGGCCCUGUUUGAAAACGCGAAUAAAGUAUUUCCUUUUAUAUAUAUUAUACGGUACGAAGAUUUUUUAUUAUGAUUGUAAAAUAGAAAUACUAUCAAAUGUUUAAAAUAAUAAUAUAUUCAAUCUUCAAGUUAUAAAUCAUAUGGUAGAUGAAAUAUACUACUAUCCUAUCAAUUUAUAAAUGUCAAGAUCUUUAGGUGGCGUUUGGUUCGGAAACAAAAAGGCAAUAAGCCUUUCUUCUCUUUUUUGUUUUCAAACGCUGUGUUUGGUAUUCGAGAACAGUAAUUUUCAGUCUUUGAAAUAUGUCGGUAUAAUUUAGUAUCAGAUUGAAACGGCUGUUCUACCCUUUUUCUAGAAUAAGUUUGUUUUCAAGUAGGAAUAAAGUUAAUUAAAGUCUAAAUUUAAUUUUAAUUAUGCUAUUAAAUUAUUAAAUUAAUUUAAUUAAUAUAUUUAAAUUAUUAUCUAUUUUGCUUAAAUAGGAAAGUAAUUAACUAAUUUAUUAUUUAUAAUUAAUUAGCUAAUUAAUUAUUAAUAAUUUAAUGCGUUUAUCUAUAAAGUAAUAUUUAUAUUAAUCAACCAUUAAUAUAUUUGUUAAUCUAAUUUUUUUUUUUGCUAGUUAUCUAACUAAAAUAAUUUACUAACUAAUUAAAAAGUUAAAUUAUACUUUAUAUUUAAUUACGUAAUUAACAUAUUUUCAUUAUCUUAUACAAUAUUCUGAGCUAAUAACUUUAUUAAUUUAUUAAAUUAUUUUUAAUUAAUAUUUUGAUAUUAAUUAAUUAGAUAAAAUAUUUUUAAUUUAAAAUUAUAAAUUUUAUUCAACUUGUUCCAAUCUAAUAAUUCAAACACUAUUUAUCUUAUUCCUACGAAUAAUUUAAUUUUCAUCCAGACAUAAAAUUGGUCUAUUUAUACCUGAAUUUGUAUUUAUUUUUAGAAUAAAUAGUUUUUAUUUAUA
rnacentral:lncRNA from 1 species